rnacentral:piRNA from 1 species
CCCAAUAAUAUUUGUUGUUGCCAGGGCCU